rnacentral:rRNA from 1 species
CGCACAGAGGGCUGCAAACCCGCGAGGGGGAGCCAAUCUCACAAAACGCAUCGUAGUCCGGAUCGCAGUCUGCAACUCGACUGCGUGAAGCUGGAAUCGCUAGUAAUCGCGCAUCAGCAAUGGCGCGGUGAAUACGUUCCCGGACCUUGUACACACCGCCCGUCAAGCCAUGGGAGUUGGGUAUGCCUGAAGAUGGUUGCUGUAAGGCGCUGUUUAGGGCAGAACUAGCGACUGGGGCUAAGUCGUAACAAGGUAGCCGUACCGGAAGGUGUGGCUGGAACACCUCC